rnacentral:rRNA from 1 species
AGUGAACGCUGGCGGUAGGCCUAACACAUGCAAGUCGAACGGCAGCACAGUAAGAGCUUGCUCUUACGGGUGGCGAGUGGCGGACGGGUGAGGAAUACAUCGGAAUCUACUUUUUCGUGGGGGAUAACGUAGGGAAACUUACGCUACUACCUCAUACGACCUACGGGUGAAAGCAGGGGAUCUUCGGACCUUGCGCGAUUGAAUGAGCCGAUGUCGGAUUAGCUAGUUGGCGGGGUAAAGGCCCACCAAGGCGACGAUCCGUAGCUGGUCUGAGAGGAUGAUCAGCCACACUGGAACUGAGACACGGUCCAGACUCCUACGGGAGGCAGCAGUGGGGAAUAUUGGACAAUGGGCGCAAGCCUGAUCCAGCCAUACCGCGUGGGUGAAGAAGGCCUUCGGGUUGUAAAGCCCUUUUGUUGGGAAAGAAAAGCAGCAGGUUAAUACCCCGCUGUUCUGACGGUACCCAAAGAAUAAGCACCGGCUAACUUCGUG